CACACACUGAAAAAUGGAUAUGUUAAUUGCCUUCCUCUUAAUAGUAAUAUCCAUCACACAAUCCAGUGGUCAGACACUGUCUGAAUCUGAAUCAGUGGUUCUUAAACCUGGAAACUCCCACAAACUGACUUGCACAUACUCUGGAUUCAGCAGUGAUCCUUACAUGGUUUGGGUCAGACAGGCUCCUGGGAAAGGGCUAGAAUGGUUGGCUUACAUUUACCCUGCGAGUAACUAUAUAUAUUACUCCCAAACUAUUCAAGGAAGAUUUACCAUCUCCAGAGACAACAACAAGCAGCAGGUGUAUCUGCAGAUGAACAGCCUGAAGACCGAGGACACGGCUGUGUAUUACUGUGCCAGAGAGUCACAGUGGCACAAUAUGCUGCAGAGAUGAACAAAAACAUCAGACUCCUCUAUUACCAUUGUGUUAUUUAUUUGGCCUCUCCCUCUAUGUAUUUUGCCUUCCCCCACUGUGUGUGCAAUACUCAACAUUCCAUUUAAUAUCCUUGCAAUGAUGAUGAACAAAAAAAUAUGUAUUUACAUAAAAACUGUUAAUGCAUCAAUUAAUGUUUGUUGUG